ACGGAGGGUGCAAGCGUUAUCCGGAAUCACUGGGUUUAAAGGGUGCGUAGGCGGUCUAAUAAGUCAGUUGUGAAAUCGCUGGGCUCAACCCAUGCAAUUGCGAUUGAUACUGUUAGACUUGAAUGGGGUUGAGGCUGGCGGAAUGCGACAUGUAGCGGUGAAAUGCUUAGAUAUGUCGCAGAACACCGAUUGCGAAGGCAGCCAGCUGGGCCUUUAUUGACGCUGAGGCACGAAAGCGUGGGGAGCAAACAGG
rnacentral:rRNA from 1 species